CGAGAGAGGCUGGCUAGCAACAAAGACUGCUAAUCUUCGUACCCUCGGGUUGAAUCCGGAGUUUUCUC
rnacentral:tRNA from 1 species